UCUCCUGGAAACGGGUGGUAAUGCCGGAUGCUCCAGUUGAUCGCAUGGUCUUCUGGGAAAGCUUUCGCGGUAUGGGAUGGGGUCGCGUCCUAUCAGCUUGACGGCGGGGUAACGGCCCACCGUGGCUUCGACGGGUAGCCGGCCUGAGAGGGCGACCGGCCACAUUGGGACUGAGAUACGGCCCAGACUCCUACGGGAGGCAGCAGUGGGGAAUAUUGCACAAUGGGCGCAAGCCUGAUGCAGCGACGCCGCGUGAGGGAUGGAGGCCUUCGGGUUGUAAACCUCUUUUAUCGGGGAGCAAGCGAGAGUGAGUUUACCCGUUGAAUAAGCACCGGCUAACUACGUGCCAGCAGCCGCGGUAAUACGUAGGGUGCAAGCGUUAUCCGGAAUUAUUGGGCGUAAAGGGCUCGUAGGCGGUUCGUCGCGUCCGGUGUGAAAGUCCAUCGCUUAACGGUGGAUCCGCGCCGGGUACGGGCGGGCUUGAGUGCGGUAGGGGAGACUGGAAUUCCCGGUGUAACGGUGGAAUGUGUAGAUAUCGG
rnacentral:rRNA from 3 species